AGAACAGGGGCGCGAUUCACAUCUCAACCGAAAUAUUUGUAAAGCGAUACGAACGAGUUACGAGAUGAAAUCCGCAAUGUUUAAAAACGCGAUUCAUAGCACACAUACUUUGAUCUCGUUUUCAUAUCGCUAGUUCGUAUUUGGAUGGCUUGAGUGAAAUGAAUGAAACUAUAUUUUUUUAAUUGCCAUGCAAAAAUAAUAAAUACUACCACUAAUUGUUUUAAAUAAUUUUGUUCCUGCAAUAUAUAUUGUUGGAAUUAGUGUCGAUAGCAAGUAUCAAGAAACGGCUUUUUAAUUCAACGUUGAAGAAAUUCAUAACCUGUGGCACUUUUGACAGCCGCCAUGUUUUCUCCAUAAAAGCAAACAUAACAAACAUUGAUUUUCUUUGCUCAUUUUCGUGUCAACGUAGUUUUUUUGGAAAAUAUAAGAAGAAAGGAAGUUUAACUAACUUAGAGAAAUACGACUGAGACAUAAUCAUGAACGAGAUGAACACAAGCAGCAGCCGAUGUGCUUGAGUAGCAGAAGGAGCAACUGCGUUGUGAGAGGGCCACGGCUUCAGCCCUCACAAUGAUAGCUGAAGCAAUGAACAGACAGGCUGCAGUCAAUGAGAGGCUUCUUGAGCAGGGGCUCCUCAUAUGGAAAAAGGCUAAUGAAAGGAACAAUCAAGACCAGACUUAAAGUAAAGAUUUUAGCGGCGACGCAGUUGCGCGACCAGUGAAGCUCUGGCUCCGCGACCGGCGUGGAGCGCGGUCCGCGCGG